rnacentral:rRNA from 1 species
GUCUACAGCCAUGCCACCCUGAAUAAGCCCAAUCCCAUUUGAUCUCAGAAGCUAAGAGGGUCAGGCCUGUUUAGUACUUGGAUGGGAGACCACCUAGGAAGACCAGGUGCUAUAGGCA